rnacentral:rRNA from 1 species
ACAGAGGUGGCGAGCGUUGUUCGGAUUUACUGGGCGUAAAGGGCGCGUAGGCUGCCGAGCUUGUCGGGUGUGAAAUCCCAGGGCCCAACCCUGGAAGUGCGCCCGAAACUGUUUGGCUGGAGUGCGGGAGGGGGGAUCGGAAUGCAGGGUGUAGCGGUGAAAUGCGUUGAUAUCCUGCAGAACACCGGUGGCGAAGGCGGAUCCCUGGAACGCAACUGACGCUGAGGCGCGAAAGCCGGGGGAGCAAACAG